ACCGGCCUCGCAUGCCUUCUGUGGACCAAGUUUUCUUGUGCGUACCGACAGCCUUUUGUGCAUCGUAGGAUGGAGUGAACAUCAGCUUUAAGUCUCGAGAAGCUGAGGCAUCUUCUAUUGGGUGUGCUGGUUUCAACUGUGACACAGCAGAAGGAGACAAGUGCAGCAAGUAUUUUGACUGGUUGCCCUUCUGGUUGGUUCUUCACUCCCUUCGUCGGCAACGGACCGGGUCUUCCCCUGUCCUCUACA